GAGGGUAUAGCUCAGUGGUAGAGUGCGUGAGGUCCCGGGUUCAAUCCCCAGUACCUCCA
rnacentral:tRNA from 1 species